rnacentral:rRNA from 1 species
GUCUACAGCCAUGCUAUCCUGAACAAACCCGAGCCCGUCUGAUCUUGGCAGCUAAGCAGGGUCGGGCCUGGUUAGUACUUGGAUGGGAGACCACCUAGGAAGUCCAGGUGCUGUAGAUG